GCACACCUAGGUUCCUCAUGAACCUAGGAGAAGGUCGCUUACACCAUGGUAGCUCCACAUGCUAGCUCAGGGUGAGGGGGAUGGUGGAGACCUAACACCAGAUCACUUCCCCCUAAAGAGCUAAAUAAACUUACCAGCCAUGACACCAGAGCCAUUGACAUGUCCCAAC